CGUGUAGGCGGAUUUACAAGUCAAAUGUGAAAACCGGCGGCUUAACCUCCGGCCUGCAUUUGAUACUGCUGAUCUUGAGUACGGAAGAGGAGAGUGGAAUUCCAGGUGUAGCGGUGACAUGCGUAGAUAUCUGGAAGAACACCGGUGGCGAAGGCGGCUCUCUGGUCCGAUACUGACGCUGAGGCGCGAAAGCUAGGGGAGCAAACA
rnacentral:rRNA from 1 species